rnacentral:rRNA from 1 species
UAAUAGCUCACUAGUCGAGAGGUCCUGCGCCGAAAAUGUCCGGGGCUGAAACACGUCACCGAAGCUCAGGAAUGACUUAUGGUCAUUGGUAGAGGAGCAUUCUUAAAGGAGCGAAGCAGUACCGAUAAGGAGCUGUGGACUUUUAAGAAGAGAGAAUGCCGGAAUGAGUAGCGAGAUGGAGGUGGGAAUCCUCCAGGCCGAAUAUCCAAGGUUUCCAGGGUAAAGCUGAUCUGCCCUGGGUAAGUCGGGGCCUAAGGCGAGGCUUAAGUGCGUAGCCGAUGGACAACAGGUUCAGAUUCCUGUACCGCAUGGUAUCAGAACUGUGGGGACGCAGAAGGACAGCACAACCGGGGAAUAGAGCCCCGGGCAAGCAGGGUAGGAGUGAGACUGGCAAAUCCGUUUCACAAUCCGAAUCUGUGACGCGGACCGAACAUAAGUAGGGAAGUGUGCGAUUCCGGCUGCCGAGAAAAGCCGCUAUUGUGUACCAUGUGCCCGUACCGUAAACCGACACAGGUGGAUGAGGAGAGAAUCCUAAGGCCGGCGGAAGAAGCAUUGUUAAGGAACUCGGCAAAAUGACCCCGUAACUUCGGGAGAAGGGGUGCCGGAGAGAUCCGGCCGCAGAGAAUAGGCUCAAGCAACUGUUUAGCAAAAACACAGGUCUAUGCGAAACCGAAAGGUGAGGUAUAUGGGCUGACGCCUGCCCGGUGCUGGAAGGUUAAGAGGAGAGGUUAGCGCAAGCGAAGCUUUGAAUUUAAGCCCCAGUAAACGGCGGCCGUAACUAUAACGGUCCUAAGGUAGCGAAAUUCCUUGUCGGGUAAGUUCCGACCCGCACGAAAGGCGUAAUGAUUUGAGCGCUGUCUCGACAAUGCAUCCGGUGAAAUUGAAGUACCAGUGAAGAUGCUGGUUACCCGCGCCAGGACGGAAAGACCCCAUGGAGCUUUACUCCAGUUUGGUACUGGGAUUCGGUACUGCAUGUACAGGAUAGGUGGGAGACUGAGAAAUUGGAACGCCAGUUUCAAUGGAGUCACUGUUGGGAUACCACCCCUGCAGUAUUGGGUUUCUAACCAGCCGCUGUGAUCCAGCGGUGGGACAAUGCCAGGCGGGGAGUUUGACUGGGGCGGUCGCCUCCGAAAGGGUAUCGGAGGCGCUCAAAGGU